AAUAGGUAUGCUUAGGGAGGAGCUUGCGUCACAUUCGUUAGAUGGUGGGGUAAAGGCCUAACAAGACUAUGAUGUGUAGCCGGGCUGAGAGGUUGAACGGCCACAUUGGGACUGAGACACGGCCCAAACUCCUACGGGAGGCAGCAGUAGGGAAUUUUCGGCAAUGGAGGAAACUCUGACCGAGCAACGCCGCGUGAACGAUGAAGUAUUUCGGUACGUAAAGUUCUUUUAUUAGGGAAGAAUAAAUGAUGGAAAAAUCAUUCUGACGGUACCUAAUGAAUAAGCCCCGGCUAACUAUGUGCCAGCAGCCGCGGUAAUACAUAGGGGGCAAGCGUUAUCCGGAAUUAUUGGGCGUAAAGGGUGCGUAGGCGGUUAAAUAAGUUUAUGGUCUAAGUGCAAUGCUCAACAUUGUGAUGCUAUAAAAACUGUUUAGCUAGAGUAAGAUAGAGGCAAGUGGAAUUCCAUGUGUAGUGGUAAAAUGCGUAAAUAUAUGGAGGAACACCAGUAGCGAAGGCGGGUUGCGGGCUCUUUACUGACGCUGAGGCACGAAAGCGUGGGGAGCAAACAGGAUUAGAUACCCUGGUAGUCCACGCCGUAAACGAUGAGUACUAAACGUUGGGUAAAACGAGUGUUGAAGUUAACACAUUAGGGACUGCGCCUGAGUAGUACGUACGCAAGUAUGAAACUUAAAGGAAUUGACGGGACUCCGGACAAGGGGUGGAUCAUGUUGUUUAAUUCGAAGGUACCCGAAAAACCUCACCAGGUCUUGACAUGCUUCUGCAAAACUGUAGAAACACAGUGGAGGUUAUCAGUUGCACAGGUGGUGCAUGGUUGUCGUCAGCUCGUGUCGUGAGAUGUUGGGUUAAGUCCCGCAACGAGCGCAACCCUUAUUGUUAGUUGCCAGCACGUAAUGGUGGGGACUUUAGCAAGACUGCCAGUGAUAAAUUGGAGGAAGGUGGGGACGACGUCAAAUCAUCAUGCCCCUUAUGACCUGGGCUACAAACGUGAUACAAUGGCUGUUACAAAGGGUAGCUGAAACGCAAGUUUUUGGCGAAUCUCAAAAAAACAGUCUCAGUUCGGAUUGAAGUCUGCAACUCGACUUCAUGAAGUUGGAAUCGCUAGUAAUCGCG
rnacentral:rRNA from 1 species